rnacentral:tRNA from 1 species
GCUCAGUUGGUUAAGUGUCUGACUCCUGGUUUUGGCUCAGGUGGUGAUCUCAUGGUUUGUGGGUUCAAGUCCCACAUCAGGCU